rnacentral:snoRNA from 1 species
AAGUGAAAUGAUGGCAAAUCAUCUUUCGGGACUGACCUGAAAUGAAGAGAAUACUCUGCUGAUCACUU